ensembl:lncRNA
CAACAAUUGAAAUCAGGCUUAAAAUGUCGACUGAAACCUUUGUGUGUCAUUAAUUACACAAACGCUCAUUAACUCAAGAUCAUUGUUGUUUCACUUCAUUCAAGUCAACGAGUAAUAAAGAACAUGUGAUUCUCUUUGGUCUGAAGAAAACAAGACGGAUUCAUUUGGUUUUAUUUUUAUUAAAAUGUAUUUUCAUUGUUAAAAUAAUAAACAUUUAUAAACCAUAAUAAACAACAUAUUUAACAAUAAUAAUAAAACAAUCAUUGGGAAAACAUCUGAAGCAGUUCCUGAGAAGAGAGAAAAGAAGAAGUUAUUAACAUGUUAAUGUUGUUAGUGUGUCUGUGUGUACAUCUAAAUGUUAGUGUGUCUGUGUGUACAUCUAAAUGUUAGUGUGUCUGUGUGUACAUCUAAAUAUUAAUAUGUCUUUGUGUACAUCUAAAUAUUAGUGUGUGUCUUUGUUUAGUACCAAAUGUUAGUGUGUCUGUGUGUACAUCUAAAUAUUAAUGUCUUUGUGUACAUCUAAAUAUUAGUGUGUGUCUUUGUGUACAUCUAAAUGUUAGUGUGUGUCUUUGUUUAGAACCAAAUGUUAGUGUGUCUGUGUGUACAUCUAAUUGUUAGUGUGUCUGUGUGUACAUCUAAAUAUUAGUGUGUGUCUUUGUGUACAUCUAAAUGUUAGUGUGUGUCUUUGUUUAGAACCAAAUGUUAGUGUGUCUGUGUGUACAUCUAAUUGUUAGUGUGUCUGUGUGUACAUCUAAUUGUUAGUGUGUCCCGAUGACGUAGUGUCCCGAUGACGUGGUGUCCUGAUGGCGUCCUGAUGGCAUCCCGAUGACGUGGCGUCCUGAUGGCGUCCUGUUGGUCUGCAGACAAGGAGAAGAGACGUGAGGAGGAUCAUCAGGAUGUGUCUGUGUGUACAUCUAAUUGUUAGUGUGUCUGUGUGUACAUCUAAUUGUUAGUGUGUCUGUGUGUACAUCUAAUUGUUAGUGUGUCUGUGUGUACAUAUAAAUGUUAGUGUGUCUGUGUGUACAUCUAAAUAUUAAUGUGUCUUUGUGUACAUCUAAAUAUUAGUGUGUGUCUUUGUUUAGAACCAAAUGUUAGUGUGUCUGUGUGUACAUCUAAUUGUUAGUGUGUCUGUGUGUGGAUCUAAUUGUUAGUGUGUCUGUGUGUACAUCUAAAUAUUAAUGUGUCUUUGUGUACAUCUAAAUGUUAGUGUGUGUCUUUGUUUAGAACCAAAUGUUAACGUGUCUGAGUACAUCUGUGUGUGUGUGUGUGUGUGUGUGUGUGUGGGUGUGUGUGUGUGUGUCAUGAGUAGAUUUGGAUUUGCUCCUGAGGGGUUGACGCGGCGUCCUGAUGGCGUCCUGAUGGCGUCCCGAUGACGUGGUGUCCUGAUGGCGUCCCGAUGACGUGGCGUCCUGAUGGCGUCCUGUUAGUCUGCAGACAAGGAGAAGAGACGUAAGGAGGAUCAUCAGGAUGUGUCUAUUUGGAUUUGCUCCUGAGGGGUUGACGCGGCGUCCUGAUGGCGUCCUGAUGGCGUCCUGAUGGCGUCCCGAUGACAUGGCGUCCUGAUGGCGUCCCGAUGACAUGGUGUCCUGAUGGCGUCCUGAUGGCGUCCUGUUGGUCUGCAGACAAGGAGAAGAGACGUGAGGAGGAUCAUCAGGAUGUGUCUGUGUGUACAUCUAAUUGUUAGUGUGUCUGUGUGUACAUCUAAAUAUUAAUGUGUCUUUGUGUACAUCUAAAUGUUAAAUGUGUGUCUUUGUUUAGAACCAAAUGUUAGUGUGUGUCGUUGUUUAGAACCAAAUGAUAGUUGUCUGUGUGUAGAUGUCAUUGUUAGUGUGUCUUUGUUUAGAACCAAAUGUUAGUGUGUCUGUGUGUACAUCUAAAUAUGAAUAUGUCUUUUGUGUACAUCUAAAUGUUAGUGUGUGUCAUUGUUUAGAACCAAAUGAUAGUGUGUCUGUGUGUACAUCUAAUUGUUAUUGUCUUUGUGUACAUCUUAAUAUUAGUGUUUGUCUUUGUUUAGAACCAAAUGUUAGUGUGUAUGUGUGUACAUCUAAUUGUUAGUGUGUCUGUGUGUACAUCUAAAUAUUAAUGUGUCUUUGUGUACAUCUAAAUGUUAGUGUGUGUCUUUGUGUACAACUAAAUAUUAGUGUGUGUCGUUGUUUAGAACCAAAUGAUAGUGUGUCUGUGUGUAGAUGUCAUUGUUAGUGUGUCUGUGUGUACAUCUAAUUGUUAUUAUGUAUUUGUGUACAGCUAAAUAUUAGUGUGUGUCAUUGUUUAGAACCAAAUGUUAGUGUGUCUGUGUGUACAUCUGUGUGUGUGUGUGGGGGGGGAGUGU